AGGCCGGUCAGAUUUCCACAGGGCACAUGGGUGCCAGGUGUGGCCGGGACAGCUGGGAGGGCAGGUGGGUAGAGGGGGCUGCUGGCGGCACGAUGCCCCAGCCAGGGAUCGGGCCCUGAAGCAGCUGCUCCACACCUGCUCCAGGCUGCAUGAGGGGGGUCAGGCCCCCAUCGGGGAGCAGACUCUGGGUCCGUAUCCUGGCUGUGCCACUGAACUGGCUGGUGACCCUCAUUUUGAGUCUGUUCCUUUCCUGGGCUCUCGAGUUCCCCAGCUGGUGGUGCUGUGAUGGUCAGGUUAUUAUAAAUUAUUAUCAUUAUUACCUCCUGGUGGCCUGGGAAAAAACGGUCAGGUCAGAGAACCUAAGCAGUGGUGGCUGGGGGGCCACUUGACCCCUGAAGUUCCAUUGGCUUCCUAAAGCUCUAUUGGGCCGUCCCUUCCUGUUGCUCCCGGCGGCUCCCCCAAUGCUUGUGACAGCACAGUCCAGAACUCUCGUGAGAUUGGAGUCAUUCUGGCUGGAGGGGGCCCAGGAGCCCAGAAUUCCAGACCUGCAUCUCCUCUUUCUCCAAAUUUCACCCCCCGACCCCCCCUGCACCAGGUAGCUCUGAGGCCACUCUUGGCACCCUCAGGGUUCCAUGACACCUACUUUGAAAACCAUGGCCCAGAAUGCCAUCUAAGCCCCUUAGCUAGGCAUUCCAGGCCUCCAUUCCCCAUGCCUCCCCCAGUCUCUAAUUCUUCUUUUCCAUAGGAGUCCCCAGGUGACGCAGUGCCCACCACACCCGAUUUCUGGCUGCUUCAGAAACAGUCUCUGCAGCUUUACCCCGGGGCAUUUAUAGAUGCCGUUUCUGCCUCUCAGAAUCUUCUUUUCCACUUAGCACCUGGCAAAUACUUCCUUAACUCCAGAGGCCUGGAAGCCCGUCGCCUCCUCCCAGAAGACCUCCCUGAUUGCUGAAAGAGGGUCCAUUGCUCGUCCCUCAGCUCUCUGGAGCCCUGCAGAGGUCAGGGGGCCUAGAGGGGUUGAGGGGCAUGAUCUGGCAAGGACGGGAGGGAGUGAAAAGGGAGGGAUGUAGAUGGAAGGCAAUGGGUGGAAAACAGGAGCAAGGGAAGAAUGGGGGGCGGGGGAAGGCGUGAGUGGCGUCUGAUAGCACCCCCUUCUGCCCCUCCCCUCACCCCUAGCGCCGACACCCGCGUCCCCUCUCCUCUCCUCCGCCCCACCCUGGGGCCAAGCCCGUCUUCUCCAGGCUCCAGGGAGGAGAGGAAUUUCAGGAGCUCCAUUUCAGGGUCCCAGGUGGGCCACCAGUCCAGACGACCAGGGAAUAAGGGAGAGCAGUCAUGAGCCACCACUCACCCCAUGUUCCACAUCUCAUGGCUCAGCUCCCAGAUGAUCUGUCUUCCUGGGCUGCUUCCCCAGGGUGGGGUCAGGUCCCCCUAGAGCCCCAGGAGGUCGGUGUAGGCCUCUAGGACGCAGGCUUUCUUCUGCUACCAUCACAGACACCACAGGCCUGCUAAUCACCCGGGACAGGAAGCCACUUUCUGAGUAUCAGCUAUGUUCAAGGCCCCGAGCCAGGCACUCCCUGGUUUGGUCUCAUCUAACUGGGCAACACCUCCCUUCUCAGGGACCAAGCACCACUUCACAGAGGGAAAAUGGGGUUCAAUGGGGAAGCUGUUAGAAGGACACUCACCCCCACCCCGAAACUGUGCACAGUCUCCUUUAAAAGAGCAAAGUUGGCCGGGCGCGGUGGCUCAAGCCUUAAUCCCAGCACUUAGGGAGGCCGAGGCGGGUGGAUCAUGAGGUCAGGAGAUCAAGACCAUCCUGGCUAACACGGUGAAACCCCGUCUCUGCUAAAAAUACAAAAAACUAGCUGGGCAUGGUGGCGGGCACAUGUAGUUCCAGCUACUCGGGAGGCUGAGGCAGGAGAAUCGCUUGAACCCAGGAGGCAGAGAUUGCAGUGAGCCGAGAUCUUGCCACUAGCACUCCAGCCUGGGCAACAGAGCAAGACUCCAUCUCAAAAAAAAAAAA
ensembl:lncRNA